rnacentral:rRNA from 1 species
GAUGAACGCUGGCGGCGUGCUUAAUACAUGCAAGUCGAGCGAACAGACGAGGAGCUUGCUCCUCUGACGUUAGCCGCGGACGGGUGUGAAACACGUGGAUCACCUACCUAUCAGUCUGGUAUCAUCUCGGGACACCGGAGCUUAUACCGGAUAAUCUCUUGAACCGCAUGGUUCAAUAGUGAGAGACGGCGUUGCUGUCUCUUAUAGCUGGAUCCGCGCCGCAUUAGCUAGUUGGUACGGUAACGGGUUAUCAAGGCGACGAUGCGUAGCCGACCUGAGAGAGUGAUCGGCCACACUAGAACUGAGACGCGGUCCAGACGCCUGCGGGAGGCAGCAGUAGGGAAUGUGCCGCAAUGGGCGAGAACCUGACGGAGCGACGCCGCGUGAGUGAUGGAGGUCUUGGGAUCGUAAUACUGUGUUAUGAGGGGAGAACAAAUGUGGAAGGAGCUAUACACUGCUUGACGGUACCGGAUCAGAAAGCCACGGCUAACUACGUG